rnacentral:ncRNA from 1 species
UUAUUGGAGAGUUUGAUCCUGGCUCAGGACGAACGCUGGCGGCGUGCCUAAUACAUGCAAGUCGAGCGAAUCUGAGGGAGCUUGCUCCUGAAGAUUAGCGGCGGACGGGUGAGUAACACGUGGGUAACCUGCCUGUAAGAUUGGGAUAACUCCGGGAAACCGGAGCUAAUACCGGAUAAUAUUUCGAACCGCAUGGUUCGAAGUUGAAAGGUGGCUUUUGCUACCACUUACAGAUGGACCCGCGGCGCAUUAGCUAGUUGGUGAGGUAACGGCUCACCAAGGCAACGAUGCGUAGCCGACCUGAGAGGGUGAUCGGCCACACUGGGACUGAGACACGGCCCAGACUCCUACGGGAGGCAGCAGUAGGGAAUCUUCCGCAAUGGACGAAAGUCUGACGGAGCAACGCCGCGUGAGCGAAGAAGGCCUUCGGGUCGUAAAGCUCUGUUGUUAGGGAAGAACAAGUACCGUUCGAAUAGGGCGGUACCUUGACGGUACCUAACCAGAAAGCCACGGCUGCCCACGGCUCAACCGUGGAGGGUCAUUGGAAACUGGGGAACUUGAGUGCAGAAGAGGAGAGUGGAAUUCCACGUGUAGCGGUGAAAUGCGUAGAGAUGUGGAGGAACACCAGUGGCGAAGGCGACUCUCUGGUCUGUAACUGACGCUGAGGCGCGAAAGCGUGGGGAGCGAACAGGAUUAGAUACCCUGGUAGUCCACG